rnacentral:rRNA from 1 species
GAUGAACGCUGGCGGCGUGCCUAAUACAUGCAAGUCGAGCGAACAGACGAGGAGCUUGCUCCUCUGACGUUGGCGGCGGACGGGUGAGUAACACGUGGAUAACCUACCUAUAAGACUGGGAUAACUUCGGGAAACCGGAGCUAAUACCGGAUAAUAUAUUGAACCGCAUGGUUCAAUAGUGAAAGACGGCUUUGCUGUCACUUAUAGAUGGAUCCGCGCCGCAUUAGCUAGUUGGUAAGGUAACGGCUUACCAAGGCAACGAUGCGUAGCCGACCUGAGAGGGUGAUCGGCCACACUGGAACUGAGACACGGUCCAGACUCCUACGGGAGGCAGCAGUAGGGAAUCUUCCGCAAUGGGCGAAAGCCUGAUGGAGCAACGCCGCGUGAGUGAUGAAGGUCUUCGGAUCGUAAAACUCUGUUAUUAGGGAAGAACAAAUGUGUAAGUAACUAUGCACGUCUUGACGGUACCUAAUCAGAAAGCCACGGCUAACUACGUG